AUGGCUGCGACGACGACGGCGGCGGCGGCGGCUGCUGCCCACCUGCUCACCUCCCCACCUGUCACGUCUCCACGGCCCGCACCUCGCCGUCACCGCCGCACCGAGGCCGCCAGGAGCCUCUCCUGCCGCGCGUCGCUAGGCCCCGACGCCCCCCUACCCGCGCUCUCCGCCGCCCCCAGACCGUCGCCCGCUCGGGGGAGGGCGUACCUGCGGGAGCACUCCUGCCUCCUCUUCCCGCCCCCGCGCGGCGCCCGUCCGCUCGCCGUCGUCAAGUUCCUCGGCGGCGCCUUCAUCGGCGCCGCUCCCGAGGCCACCUACGGCUACCUGCUGGAGCUCCUGGCGCAGGAGGGAUUCCUCGUGGUGUGCGUUCCGUACAACGUCACCUUCGACCACGCGGCCGCCGCGCGGGAGGUCUUCCAGAGGUUCCACGGCUGCUACGACGCGCUCCGAGCGUCGGGCCUGCCGGAGGCCGGGCUGAGCGCUCUGGACAUCGCGGGGCUCCCUCUCUACUCCGUUGGUCACAGUAAUGGCGCGCUGCUUCAGCUGUUGGUUGGGAGCUACUUCUCAGAAAAGAUACCAAAGGCUAAUGCCAUUGUCUCAUUCAACAAUAGGCCCGCUUCAGAGGCUGUUCCUUACUUUGAGCAGAUAGGCCCCCUCAUUAGUCAACUAACGCCUAUGAUGGAGACAUCACCUGUAUACUCUGUGGCUAGAGAUGCAUCAGGGAAUGCGUGGAAAGCCCUAUUUGAUUUAGCUGGAGGUUUGAUACGGGAGUACGAUCAAGAAGCUAUGGUAUCCGUAAGCAAAUUUGUCGAUCAGUUACCAUCAGUAAUGAAUCAGGUUACAGAAGGUGUAUCUGAAUUCAAGCCAACACCACCUGAGAACCGUGAAUUCUGCAAGAAUUCUUACAGUGUAGCUAAUACAUUAUUGGUGAAAUUCAGCGUUGAUGCUAUUGAUGAUACAGACAUAAUUGAGGACAUCUUGAGACCCCGGGUAGACUCAAUUGGUGGACAAAUAAAGAAGGUCGUACUGUCAGGAACACAUCUAACUCCGUGUAUACAGGAUGUUAAAUGGCAAGUUGGUUCAGAAUACACUCCAGCGGAUGCUCUGGCGCAGGGCUUAAAAUCAUUGGCUCUCAAUGAGACUAGGGUCCUCUCAAGAACUAUCGCUGACUACUUCAGAUCCCUUUAG
rnacentral:rRNA from 1 species